UACAGAGGUCUCAAGCGUUGUUCGGAUUCAUUGGGCGUAAAGGGUGCGUAGGCGGCGAGGUAAGUCAGAUGUGAAAUCCCGGAGCUUAACUCCGGAACUGCAUUUGAUACUGCUUUGCUUGAGGACUGGAGAGGAGAUCGGAAUUCACGGUGUAGCAGUGAAAUGCGUAGAUAUCGUGAGGAAGGCCAGUGGCGAAGGCGGGUCUCUGGACAGUUCCUGACGCUGAGGCACGAAGGUCAGGGGAGCAAACGGG
rnacentral:rRNA from 1 species